rnacentral:sRNA from 1 species
ACUUGCGGGAGCUUGCUCCCAAAAGUUAGCGGCGGACGGGUGAGUAACACGUGGGCAACCUGCCUAUAAGACUGGGAUAACUUCGGGAAACCGGAGCUAAUACCGGAUGAUUCUUUUCUACACAUGUAGAAAAGCUGAAAGACGGCUUACGCUGUCACUUAUAGAUGGGCCCGCGGCGCAUUAGCUAGUUGGUGAGGUAAUUUCUCACCAAGGCCAGAAAAAGUAGCCGACCUGAGAGGGUGAUCGGCCACACUGGGNCUNACUCCCUUCCCGNAGAAAUACGGGAGGCAUCNAGUCGAGCUGGCUGUNAACUCGAGCCAUC